rnacentral:lncRNA from 1 species
UACAGAGCUUCUCUGCAACACAAGGUAAAUUCGCCUCUCUCUCCACCACCCAAACUUCACAGUUCUGAACCCUAAUACCCAAAUCCAGUUUCCUCUCAAGCACCGGUCACCCAUCUCAAACACCACCUCCACUUCGCCGGUCAUCCACCCUCAUCAAGCACCGGCCGUCGCCACCACUCACACGAUCCAUCUCGUUCUCCGGUCACCCACCACUGUACUCCUUCUCCACCUUGAACCCCAAUCGCCGUACAAGGACGUAUUUCGGCCGUCUCCGGCGGUGGAAUGGACGCAUCAAUCACUGGGUAUGAAGAGGGGGUUAUCGCAUACAUGGUCAGCCUAGGGUUAGGAUGAAGAUGCAGUGAGAUGACGGCACAGCUUCUUACAGACCAACUGAAGAUUUCAAACGUCCUCAAAGAGCAGCCCUUCAUUAGGAAACCUACUUUAUAAAGAACUGUGUUGUUAGAUGUUAUAGGAAGGAUGGUGUGGUGAUCACAAGAGAACAUUGCCAGAGGUUAAAUCCAAGAUUCAAAUACGGAAACAAGACAUCUUUAAACUUGAUCGAGUGUUCGUACUUGCAAGAUAUUCUCCCUGGAAUUCUCAACCAGCUAGGUGUCCAUUGAUGAAGCUGGAAGAAAGUUCAGUGUGGAAAACCCAGGUGUCCAUGACGAUGAUUUGGUCUUCAUUCAAGAACCAACUAUUUUUUAUUUUAAACAACUAGAAGAACUUACGAGUUGCAGUGAAAAAGGGUCAUCGGUCACCACAGUUGGAUUAUCUUGUAAAAAACUGGGAAUAUAAAAAAGAAAAUGCUGUGAGAACUUCUAAGGGAAGAGCUUGAAAAUUUAAGCGAACAACGUCAAGUCGAGCUUAAGAAUUUAGAAUUAUUAGAACAUUGUUUUGAAGAAGAAAGCUAUGGAGGUGAUAAACCUCCUGUUUCAGUGUCGGAUGAAGUUCACGAAAUUGAUGGCGAGUAUGAUACAGUUACAUAUCGGAAGCAACAAGCUUUACAUGUGCGAAAGUUAUUGAAAGCCAGUGUUAACAAAGAGCAGAUACUUAUGGAGAAACUGAAUGGAAGCAUUAAAAACCUUGAAAAACAACCUUCCCCUGUUUUUUAUACAUUUUGUUCUUCAAAACGCACCCGUUGUUAUCGGCCAUCAGGAUAAAGAAUUGCAGUAUCGGUUCAUCGGUAAUCCUUUUCCAAAUUAGUGAUUGCUUAAGGCUGUCAUAUGAUGUAUAUCUUUGGCUUAUAAAACGCGGGGCAAAUCUACACAUUGAAGACAAGUAUGCUUUUUUCACAGUUUUUUAUUGUAUUUUAUUCAUUCUUUUAGCUUCUUUCAAUCAGUUAUUUCUUUUCCUUGACAUUAUUUUAUCACACAUCUUGUUUUGUUAAAUCUAAUUUUAUUUUAUCACACAUCUUGUUAUUGUUCUUGACAUGUACACUCAAUGGUGAAUUAAUUAGCUUAAUUGCUUAUCCGAUAUUAUUUUCAUUAGUU